GACGAACGCUGGCGGCGUGCUUAACACAUGCAAGUCGAACGGUGAAGGGACCGGUUUUUGCUGGUUCUGGAUGAGUGGCGCACGGGUGAGUAACACGUGAGUAACCUGCCCCCUUCUUCUGGAUAACCGCAUGAAAGUGUGGCUAAUACGGGAUAUUCUGCGCCUGCUGCAUGGUGGGUGUGGGAAAGAUAUUGUUUCGGUGGGGGAUGGGCUCGCGGCCUAUCAGCUUGUUGGUGGGGUGAUGGCCUACCAAGGCGGUGACGGGUAGCCGGCCUGAGAGGGUGGACGGUCACACUGGGACUGAGACACGGCCCAGACUCCUACGGGAGGCAGCAGUGGGGAAUAUUGCACAAUGGGCGCAAGCCUGAUGCAGCGACGCCGCGUGAGGGAUGGAGGCCUUCGGGUUGUAAACCUCUUUCGCCAGUGAAGCAGGCCUGUCCCUUUGUGGGUGGGUUGACGGUAGCUGGAUAAGAAGCGCCGGCUAACUACGUG
rnacentral:rRNA from 1 species